UCCACUACACUCAUCCCUCUUAUCUUCUCUCUCUCUAUUCUUCUACUCCACCCCCUCUACCCCUCCAUGAUCCUCUCCAUCACUUCUCUAACACUCUUUCGCUCUACUUAACUCUCUCCUAUUCCCAGUCUUUCUUUCUUUUAUGUGUGUUAUUUCUCAAGCAUCUUCUCAGAGAAAUGUACAAGCUGUUCAUUGAAGCAGGAUGUUGUGGUAAUGUAUUCUGAGAAAGCCUCAUUCCUCUUUGGGUGACAUUUAUGUGACGCAAAUGAACACGUAACUGUGCAAGUGAAUGUGUUCCAACUGAAUUUGUGUUCUGUGAAAGCCUCUUCCCAUAGCCUGGUGGUAACUCCUCCCAUGGUUAAUAAAUCCCUUUAACUUCCUGUUGUUCCCCAGGAGUACUUCCUGAGGACAGAGUUGACCAGCACCCUGCUGACCGAGGGACAGCCCCCAUGCUGCUCCGUGCGGGAGUGUCAUAACCACAUCAUGCCCGUCUGGCCCCUCGCCAUGUGCAAGCUGCCACUCCAAUACAUGGAUAGUGCAGACGAUGGAGGUCCUAUGUGUGGGGCGUGUGUGUUGCAGCGUGUCGGCCCCACGGCCAGUCUCCUAGCCUCCCCAGAACUGCUCAAGGUCCUGCCAGUGACCGAGGAGCGCCUGAACCUGCCCAUCAACUACGCUUUGCUGAUGGCUCUCUUCUGAGGGGACACGCUCACGUACACACGCAAACUCAACAUGCUGCUUGAACUGUUCAGAAAACACACCCACACAACAUGAGACAUGGACCUUUUCACUGAUGUUGUCUUGGGGGAAAAAUCAGUCUGCGUAAUAGGCAUUUGAACUAGCCAAUUAUGGACCAGAAGGUAACAGUGUGGGACAGAGUUAUUACUCCGCCAAUCUCCUAGCACCUAGAGACACUGACAACGUGGUACCCUUGAUGAUCAUUGGCCUAGAGCUGCCCCCCAUGAUCUCUGUUAGUCUAAAGUUGUGUUCCUUGCUGAUUUGGAGAAAUGUUUGGGGCAGAAUGGCAUUAUUGUGAAAUCGAUAUGUCUUGCUUUUUAGUGUGGUGCAUUUUCUUUGCUGCAAAAUAUAACAACUUCAGUCCUGUCUUUAAAUACGUGUCAUUUUCUACUUUACUUUUUAAAAUCUGUUUUAUAUGUGAUGUCUUUUAAAAUUAUAACAAAAGAAACAUUUGUCUUCAGUUUGAGUACUUUGAGGUUAACAACAUAAGCAUCAUCAUAAGUCAUGUCCAUUGUUUCCAUAAAGACACAGUUGCUAAUACUCUAAUGGAAACGGUAAAGACAAGUUUUGUGGUUAAUUUGGAAUGCUAUAUAAAGUGCAAACUGCCAUAUGGGAUGA